rnacentral:rRNA from 1 species
UGAGGAAUAUUGGUCAAUGGACGCAAGUCUGAACCAGCCAAGUAGCGUGCAGGAUGACGGCCCUAUGGGUUGUAAACUGCUUUUAUAUGGGGAUAAAGUGGGGAACGUGAUCCCUUUUGCAGGUACCAUAUGAUUAAGGACCGGCUAAUUCCUUGCCAGCAGCCUCGGUAAUACGUAAGGUUCGGGCGUUAUUCGGAUUUAUUUGGUUUAAAGGGAGCGUAGGCCGUUUGGUAAGCGUGUUGUGAAAUGUAGGAGCUCAACUUCUAGAUUGCAGCGCGAACUGUCAGACAUGAGUGCGCACAACGUAGGCGGAAUUCAUGGUGUAGCGGUGAAAUGCUUAGAUAUCAUGAAGAACUCCGAUUGCGAAGGCAGCUUACGGGAGCGCAACUGACGCUGAAGCUCGAAGGUGCGGGUAUCGAACAGG